CCCACAUUUUUAAAAAAGAAAUCCACAGCUGGCUCAGCGCUGACUGCGCAUCAGUGCUCGGGGCAGAGGUGCCAUCUUGUGGCACGAACGAAAAAUGACCUGUGCUGACAAACCUGUAGUUCUCGUCACAUUUGUUUUCUUGCCUUUGGAACAGCUGAGCUCAUAACGGCUUCUCUGUCUCAUCUCCCUCCAAAUACAACAGACACGUGCAAACGUUCCUUUUACAACAUCUGGAACCUUCUGGGGUAACCCAGGAAGAGAGCUGUUUCUAACUUCAGCUUCUUUUGGAGUGAACUGGGAGCACAGUGCCCUCUUGUGGUAGAUCUGUCGCUUUGCAAAGAAUGCCACCUCGCACCACCUGCAGCCGUUCUUCCAUGCUGUGGCCCAAACUCUUGCUUUCUGGGAAGCAGAACUUGGAUUUGAAGGGUGGCAGAGAGACACGAGAGACCUGGAGAGAAGGGCCACCCGGGGCGCAGGUGCAUUUGGUCAGCAGAAAGGCAGGACCGGAGAUCUGCACGGGACACGGGAGAGAGGCUGGUAAGGCCGAGAACUGUAGGAAAGAGUAGCUAACCAUGUCAGGAGCACGUUUCUCAAAUUGGCCACGACGAACCCCCGGAGUGAUCAUGAUGGAGAAAAGACCACAAUUAGAAGACAGUGAGAGGAGCUUCAAAGGACUCCAUUGGCUUCCUCUAGCUCUGUAAAAAGUCCAAGAGAUAGGUUUCCCGAGCCAUCUGGAGCUCCUUUUCGGCAGGGUUGAGUCUAGUCUAUACUCCGCAGGAGGAAGUCGCUUGCGUAGUUGGAGACGUCUCCUGUGCAUUGGAGCCAGUGGCUUGAUGUCAACCUUGCUGGAGAACAAACCUAGUUUUACACCAACCUGUUGAAAAGAAGUCUUCCCACUGCUUAGGCAGACUUUGACAGGGAUGGACGCCUAGAGCUCAAAUAACUGUAGGGCCCUGAAGACAUGUUCUCAGCGAAUUUCUAAGAAGAAAUAUGAACAGAAGAGAAUAUAGAUGAAGAGGUUUUGAAACUUAUUCCCACAUGAUAUAGGAAAAAGAAAAGACAAUGCUAAUAAAGUUUUUAGAAGGUGAGGUAGUAUGAAUUUU
rnacentral:lncRNA from 1 species